rnacentral:rRNA from 2 species
AGAUUAAGUUAUUAAGGGCGCACGGUGGAUGCCUUGGCACUAGAAGCCGAUGAAGGACGUUACUAACGACGAUAUGCUUUGGGGAGCUGUAA